GCAAGGGUGAGUGGCGAAAGGGUUAGUAAUGCGAUCGAAUGUACCCCGAGGUGGAGGAUAACGGGAAGAAAUUCUCGGUAAUACUCCAUGAUGUCUUCGGACCAAAGUUUUGGCGCCUUGGGAGCAGCGAUCGUCCUAUCAGGUAGUUGGCGGGGUAAAAGCCCACCAAGCCUUAGACGGGUAGCGGGUGUGAGAGCACGGCCCGCAACAUCGGAACUGAGACACUGUCCGGACUCCUACGGGAGGCUGCAGUAACGAAUCUUCCGCAAUGGGCGCAAGCCUGACGGAGCAAUGCCGCGUGCGGGAUGAAGUAUCUCUGGUAUGUAAACCGCUGUCAGGGGGCAGAAACAAUGAUUGCCCCCAGAGGAAGUGGCGACUAACUCUGUGCCAGCAGUCGCGGUAAUACAGAGGCCACAAGCAUUAGUCGGAAUCACUGGGCUUAAAGGGUGCGUAGGUUGUCCAUCAAGUGCUUUGUGAAAUCCCACGGCUCAACCGUGGAACAGCAGGGCAUACUGAUGGACUUGAGGCAAGUAGGGGCUGACGGAACAGUAGGUGGAGCGGUGAAAUGCGUAGAUAUCUACUGGAACGCCGAUGGUGAAGACGGUCAGCUGGGCUUGUCCUGACACUGAGGCACGAAAGCGUGGGGAGCAAACAGGAUUAGAUACCCUGGUAGUCCACGCUGUAAACGAUGCGCACUGGACCGGUGCGGUUUUGACGCCGUAUCGGUCGUAGUAAAAACGAUAAGUGCGCCGCCUGGGGAGUACGGUCGCAAGAUUAAAACUCAAAGGAAUUGACGGGAGCUCACACAAGCGGUGGAGCAUGUUGCUUAAUUCGAGGCAACGCGAAGAACCUUACCUGGGUUUGACAUGCUUGGAUUAACC
rnacentral:rRNA from 1 species